GCUGAGGAAGCCGCGUUAAGUAGGUUUUGAGUUUUAAGGAGUUGCUGGGUGAGUAUUUAGUAGCUAUUUGCAGUACAUCUUGUGGUUGCUGAUGGCUUCAUUUUUGUGUAGGUUACCUGCUGGGAUAGACUCCAUUUUCCAUGUGGUUUAGUCAUGGAUCUCUAAAGAUAUUGCAGAGUCUUGGUUAGAAAUCCAGUGGAGUACUUCCUAAGGGGAAAGAGCUUAUUGGUAAUUUCAGUCAGACUAAAUGCAGGAUUUUUGUAACAAAUGAACUAAUUUGGAUUAUAAAUAUAAAUCUAUAAAUGAAAAAACAUUUUAUAGGAGGAGUUGGAAACUCUGGAGAGCAACCUCUUAGCACAACAGAAUUCACUGAAAGCUCAAAAACAGCAGCAAGAACGGAUUGCUGCUACUGUCACCGGACAGAUGUUCCUGGAAAGCCAGGAACUCCUGCGCCUGUUCGGCAUUCCCUACAUCCAGGCUCCCAUGGAAGCAGAGGCGCAGUGCGCCAUCCUGGACCUGACUGAUCAGACUUCCGGAACCAUCACUGAUGACAGUGAUAUCUGGCUGUUUGGAGCGCGGCAUGUCUAUAAAAACUUUUUUAAUAAAAACAAGUUUGUAGAAUAUUAUCAAUAUGUGGACUUUCACAAUCAAUUGGGAUUGGACCGGAAUAAGUUAAUAAAUUUGGCCUAUUUGCUUGGAAGUGAUUAUACCGAAGGAAUACCAACUGUGGGUUGUGUAACUGCCAUGGAAAUUCUCAAUGAAUUCCCUGGGCAUGGCCUGGAACCUCUCCUAAAAUUCUC
rnacentral:sRNA from 1 species